rnacentral:lncRNA from 1 species
CUUUUUCUAGGCUGUGGUGAAAAACUUGGAAGAUGCACAUGAACAGAUCGAUACCGCGAUCUCGACUGCUCUGAAAGAAAGCAAGCCCGUUUACAUAAGCAUAAGCUGCAACUUGCCUGCCAUACCUCACCCGGCUUUUUGUCGCGAGCCAGUUCCAUUUGCACUCUCUCCCAAGUAAUUUUCCAUAUGUCCAAUUGAUAGAGUCUAUUUGCUAUAUUAGGUUAUGAUCAGAGUGAUGUGAUUGAUUAAUUUUCGUUGACACAGAUUAACUAAUCAGAUGGGAUUGGAAGCUGCAGUAGAGGCAGCUGCAGAGUUCUUGAACAGGGCAGUGAAGCCGGUAAUGGUGGGUGGCCCGAAACUCCGUGUUGCAAAGGCUUCUAAUGCCUUCGCAGAACUAGCCGAUGCGUGUGGCUUUCCUGUAGCUGUGAUGCCAUCGGCCAAAGGGCUUGUGCCCGAGCACCAUCCCCACUUCAUUGGCACUUACUGGGGUGUGGUGAGCACUGCAUUCUGUGCUGAGAUUGUGGAAUCCGCAGAUGCCUACUUAUUUGCUGGGCCCAUUUUCAAUGACUACAGCUCCCUUGGGUACUCCCUCAUUCUCAAGAAGGAGAAGGCCAUUAUUUUGCAGCCUGAUAGGGUUGUGAUUGGAAAUGGACCCUCUUUUGGUUGUGUUCUGAUGAAGGAUUUUCUUGAAGCACUCUCAAAGAGGGUUAAACGGAACACAACUGCUUAUGAGAAUUAUCACAGAAUUUAUGUUCCAGUGGGCCCCCCAAGGAGCCCUUGAGGGUGAAUGUCCUCUUCGAGCACAUACAGGACAUGCUCUCUAGUGAAUCAGCUGUGAUUGCUGAGACUGGAGAGUCUUGGUUCAACUGCCAGAAGCUGAAAUUACCAAGAGGCUGCGGGUAAGUGGGUGUCAUUGUGUAAAAAUUCAAUCCCUUGUCUUUAACUUUUUGAUCUGGAGCUACUUGAAGAAAACAAACUGAAAUUGUUUAAAUGGGGGUAUGCAGGUACGAGUUCCAAAUGCAGUAUGGAUCUAUUGGAUGGUCCAUUGGCGCAACUCUUGGGUAUGCACAGGCAGUGCCAGAGAAGAGUCAUUGCAUGCAUUGGAGAUGGUAGCUUCCAGGUAUGGAAUGGUUUCUGAUAUCUGUUGCAUUGCUAAGCACAUUCGAACGGACCAUCAUGAAUGAGGUAGUUAUGCAUAGAGCUUCUGUCAAGAAGAUAUCCACUAGUUUUGCAAGCUCAGCCUAUAAAGAUGCUAGUAAUCCUGUUGAGCAAUUUGCAAAGGUGGAGUUAUGUCAUACAAUACAAGUCAUGCACUGAACUCAUUCAUUUCCUUCCCUUUUCCUACUGAAUUUGAUUUUUUUGAUCUUGUCGUGUUGAUGGAAUGUAAGAGAUGAGUAAUGUCUGUGGAAUUCAUGGGGUGAUUUUCACACUCUAGGCAACUGCCCAAGAUGUGUCGACUAUGCUGCGAUGUGGGCAAAACAACAUCAUCUUCCUGAUAAACAAUGGUGGCUACACCAUUCAAGUUGUGGUCCGUGAUGGUCCCUACAAUGUGAUCAAGAACUGGAAUUACACUGGCCUGGUGGAAGCGAUUCACAACGACGAGGGCAAGUGCUGGACAGCUAAAGUAAGUUGCUUGUAUGCGAGUUACAGGGGCGACAAUUUGCUAAUUCAGGAAAUGCCUCCAUAGUGAGACAAUAAAAUCCAAUGUUUGCAGGCUCUCUACGAGGAGGAGCUUAUUGAAGCGAUUCAGACAGCGACAGGGCCCAAGAAGGAUUGCUUGUGCUUCAUAGAGGUGAUAGUUCACAAGGAGGACACCAGCAAAGAGGUUCUGGAAUGGGGGGCCCGCAUCUCGGCCGCCAAUGGUCGCCAUCCCAAUCCUCAGUAGAAGCCUUGAUUCUCAUCAGUAUGUUGCUUCAAAUACUACUGUAAUUCAAAACAGAGCAUCUUCUCGAGUAUUGCCAAUGCUCCGCGAAAUGAAAAUAACCAUGUCUCCUGAUUGGUGAUAUUGAUAAUAUAUGUUGACCAUCGGCUUCGGAUCGACAUCUUAAAUAUGUGGAAGGAACAACUGCGAAUGCGCAAAUUUUGUUCGGUGGGCUUGGAGCCGGGGACAGGGGCUUCCAUGAAUGCAUGCAUUGCCUAAAAUCUAUCUUCGAUUGGUAUGGGGAUCUUGAAGUAGCCUUAUCAAAUGAGUGGGUCAUGUCGGGUUUGGGUAAGAUUAUAAAUGGUUUGACCAAACUGACCUCUUUACUCAUUUAUUCAUAAUGCAAAUCCAUUAACUUAUACCCAACCUGAUCCAUACCCAACUUAUGUUACUAGAACACUUUCAUAUUUAAUCUAAUGUAGGAAAACUCAUAUCCAAACUUAAGUGAGAGUGUGGGAGCAAGUGAGCAUGAGAUCGAGUGAGAGCGAGAGAAAAUGAAGAGAGAGUCAUAAAAGUAGAUUGGGUCUAAUUAAAUUGUAAAUCCAGUUAUGACUCAUUUACAACCCAUUGAGCACUUGUGUUAUGUUAAAACUCAUUUAUGACUUGUUUACGAGGUACGGAUAUCUGGAUUGCUAAAACUUAGCACGAAGGGACACUUAAGUGCCAAAAGUUUGGAGUGUGACGCUUAAAUGCCAAAAUCGGAGUAAAAUAAAUCAUUUAAGUGCUACUCCAACCAAAAUCCGACCAAAAUGCUGACGUUGCAAUUUUCUGAUGAAGGAAGUGCAAAACGACGCCAUUUUGCAUACUGACGUGGCUAGACAACACAAAAACGAUGUCGUUUUGGUGCUGAUGUGGUAAAAAAGUUAAUAUAAAAAUUAAUUAAAUUAAAUUUAAAACUAAAUUUAUUUAAAACAUUUAAAAAUAAAAUAAAAAUAUUAAAAAAACUAAAAAACAAUUAAAAAAGGGGCAGGUGGCGAAGGGGGAGGGUCGGCUGGGAACAUAUCAUGUAACUUCUAAGGGUUUAUUUGGUAAUAUUUUUGUUCCUAGGAACAAUUUUGAACAUAAAAAUGUGUUUGGUAACUAUACAAGAAUUCUAUUCCUGGAAUAGGAAAAGAUUGAAAAUAUGUUUGGUAUGACUCUAAAAAUUUCUAUUCCCAAUUUUUUUUAUUUAAUUAUAAAAAUAUUUUAAAUUUCAUAUUUGGAUAAAACUAGACUUUUGUAAUAAUUUGAUUGAUCAAGAUAUUUUAAAAUGACCUAAGAAAAUCCAACAAAAUAGUUAGUCAAAAAUGGAUGGUUGAAAUCGGAAAUAGAGAGUCCCAUUGGUUUAUAACUUACAAUAUAAGGAGGUUGGUAGUAAAUUUUUGGGCAUUACAAUAAACAAAUGUAUAGUUUUUUAGCGAAAAAGAGUAAAUGUUGCUUGGAGUCAUCAAGCUUUUGUGACCUAAAAUUGUCUCUACAAGAAAUAACAUUGAAAAAUCCAUAUAGUAAAGCUCUUAAAGCUUAUUCAAUUUUGAAUCCAAUUUUCACCAAAAUAUUUUCACAUUUCUUAUGAUAAACUAAUUCUAAACUAGAAUUAACAUUCAAAUAUAGUAAAACUACACAAGUUCUAAUUUCUAAAUUUAUUCCUUAUUUUAUUUUUUCCAAAAAAUGAGACUUGGAUUGGUCAGGGACCUUGUGUUGAUUGUGCAAAGACAAGUAUUAAAUUAUAUUGAGCUUGUUAUUCUAAAAUGACCUUAUUUUUAUUUUGUUCACGGGAACAAAGAGUAAGUUUUUCUACUUUAUUCUGAAGCUGAGGAAGGGUCGUGCGUGUGGGAUAGCAUACUUGCCAAAAAUUUUGUUUUCAUUUUCCAUAUCAUAAGCAAAUUUUCUAGCUUAAGAUGCUCAGGCAACAAUAUCAAGAAAAAGGUAACUCCAAUCCUUAUGACAUUCCAUCUAGCUCAGACCAACUUCUAGAUCCUCCGAGCUAUCGACGCCCUCCAUUGUAAAUGAUUAUGUUUCUCUUAGUCCUGCUCUUGAACUCCGCUAGAAAAUCUCCUUAAGUUUGUGUACGGACUUAGUUUGUUGUGGUCCCCAUGAAGGAGCAUCUUGAUUCUUAACUUAGGCUUUCGACAAGCCUGGUCAAGUUCCUUAUUGCUCUUGAAAAAGAUAACAUUUUGAUUGAUUUGUCGGGGGCUUCUUGAUGGAUGGCUUACGGUAUCUAUUGUGAAGGUAUGAUAACCGUUCAAUGGUUGUGUCUUCUCUAGUGAUUGCCAUUAGCUCUGUCCAUGUUCCUUUAUUCCUGUAGAUCACUUUGCCCAUACUUCAUAUAACCGUCCUAGUUGUAUUUUGAGUAUUGUGUAGAUAUCAAUGGUCGUUCCAUGACUGUUUUAUAACACGUGUCUUUGAUUCUGGCUAUGUUGGUGGCUUGAUUAUUGUUCAUAGUGUCUCUAUUUAAAAAGUUGCUGCCAAGGAUCAUACGGGCGGCCGCCAACCGUUUGUCAUCUAACUUCAACAACGAGACAUGUGGCAUUUCUUUAUCUUGUCGUCGAUAGUCCGGCAUGCAUCAGACAUCAUCCAUGAUAGGCACGGUAGUUGUCAACACGAACAUGGGAUGACAAUGAUCCGAGGAUGGUCAGUCUCAUUUUGUUUACUGUAGAGGAACAUGAAGAGGGCUACCUAACUCGUCACUUUCCAUUGCAAAGCCAAAAAAACUAAUGGCCAAAUGCAACUUGAUGUCGCCGUCCACCAAAUCCAGCCGAUGAAUCACCAAAAUGUAUCUUUUACUUUUCAGAAAUCAAUGUUAAAUUUCGUGAAAAUGGUUUUCAUAUAUUGUAUAAUUUGGAAUUUUUAAUUAAAUAUUAAAUCACUUUUUUCAUAAGUAUUACUUGACAUGGUUAUUUUGCGGAUUGAUUUCAAUAUGAUUCUGGCUUAACUCAACAUUAAGAGUGCACAAAAUGGAUUGCUCGAGCCAGAAACAACCCGAAUCAGAUUCAGUCCUGUUCUCAGGGGUGUUGGUUCGGUUCCCGAUUCCUAAAAGUGAAACUAGUGUCCGGAUGGUCCUGUUCCUAGUUCCAAUGGGAAAUUAGACCGGACUAACUAUGUAUAUUUUUUUUAAUUUCUUUUAAAUAAUAAAAGUGACCAGCUUUAUUAUUAUUAUUAUUAUUAUUAUUAUUAUUAUUAUUAUUAUUAUUAUUAUUAUUAUUAUUAUUAUUAUUAUUAUUAUUAUUUCUUCAUAAUAGAAGGAAUCAAGUAAUGGGAAGAAAAGAGUGAUCGAUUUCAUAAGACUGAAUUGGUCCUUUCGGUUAAGGGACCGAUCACCACCACUUAAGACGAGGGUGAAAGAAUAAGACACUAGGAGAAAAUGAUAGACUUGGGAAUGAGGAGGUGGCCUUUCAUGCGGGAUGAAUUUUGACCAUUAAGCCAGCGUUGUGUGCCAGGUGCACGUGGAAAGAAAAGAUGCUCAAGGUAAUGAACAUUAAAUGGGAUUUUGUCUACGAGAAUAAUUUCGUCACUUUCAAUGCAUACAUUAAAAAACGAAAGUGUUUUUAAUUAGUGCCCUCAAGACAUUCAUUGACAAAACUCACCUAUAUAUUAGGGAUGUGCACAUUCGAGAAUAGAAAAGGUAAUUGCUCUAGCUCAAAACCGAUACUAAAAGAAUUGGAUCCGAAUAUUCUUUGGAAUCUGAAUCUACUUUGCAUUAUCUUAGAACUACUCGAAACUUUAACUUGCCAGUUUCAUUGGUUCAAAAGUACUUUGUACUACUUGAGAAAAAAAACUUUAUGCUACUCGGCCCCAAGAAAAAAGUACGUGAAUUUUUUAAAUAAAAAUUAAAGAACAACGUAUCAAUUCCAAUUAUCAACACAUUCGACAACCGGUUUAUUCAUAAUAGGUAAAUUUUUAUGGCUAACACCAUCAUAAUCUUGACACACAACAAAUACCAAAAGUAAAAUCAAAUAAUUAAAUAUACUUAGUCGACACAUUUAAACAUGAAAAAGGAUCCGUAAAGGGGAAAAAAAAGAGAGAGGGAAAAAUCUUAUAAAUAGCUCUAGGGGUGAGUAACACAGACCGAUCAAAUUGGAAACUACCCGGACUAGACUAGAUUGAAUUGGUGGGUUCUAGGACGAAUCCAAGGGGGUGCAGAUCUGGUUUCAUGAAAAAUGGAACCACUGAUUUUUAAUCCCAUUUCCUAAUUCAGGUUGAUAGGGUAGCUUCAGGGAAAAAAUAUUCGGUAGUUAGAGAUUGCCACGUCAUUUGAUGACUUGGCAUAGAUGUUUUGGUCCUAGCCACUCAUCAUUUGACACCUGUUCAUUGGCCUGAUAUUAAAUAAGAAUUUAAAAUUUGCCAAAGAUCCAUUCAGCCUCAGCCAUGGAAGAACUUCGAGCAAUCAACUUGCAGCACCGCCCUUGUCGUGGCAAAAAACGGAGUCGCUGGCACUGCUCCGGCGCGUCUAAGCCAAGCUGCCCCUUUCGGCGUCGUUCGAUGCCGACGGCGGACAUGGACGAGCAAGGCAACGCCCAAACGCCUUCCGCCAUGGAAGGCUGGAUAUUGAAAUCUGGAGAGCGAUGAUGACAAAGCGACAAUGGCCAUGGGCAAGCUGUACGCUAACACGAUUCCAGAUCUGGAGGUGAUUGCAGAAGUAUAGAAAAAGAAGGAGCCAGAGGCGACUGGGGCUAAAAACCAGCGACGCUGACGACAGACACGAGCGACGCAACGCUUGAAUGCCUUCCGCCAUGGAAUACUAGAUCUUGAGAUCUGGAAAGCGACGCCUACAAAGCGACGAUGGCCAUGGGUGAGUGACCUAUACCCUAGCACGAUUUCAAAUCUGGAGGUGACUGGAAAAGUGCAGAAAAAGACGGGACCAAAGGUAGCUCGGGUUGACAACCAGCGACGCCGCAAAGGGUUGUCCAUCAUCCAUGGCUUAGAUGGGUUGUUUGCGCCUGAUUGUUGGCCUUGAGCAAAGUGGGCCUCUUGACUUGUCCUCGGCCGAAGGUUUUGGGGGCUUUAGAACACAUGGCCACAAGCUUCCAGUCGAGUUUUUAGUCUUCCUCCUCCUCCAUCAUCCGUGGCUGCAAGCUUUGCUUUUCCAUGGCUCACGAGAUGGCUUGGCUUGGACUUGGCCUCGCUGACUCUACUGGUGGCGACGGCAAGUGGAGGUUCGGCAACACCGACAAAGCAUACAAGCUUUCGUCGUCGGCAUUGCGCGAAACGUAUUCCUUAGCAUUAUCUGAGUACAAAGCUUUACCUUGCACAAAUGCACAAAACACAUAAAAUAAUUUUGAACAACUUUUCAUUAGAUAUAACCAAGUCACUCUUGAAUAAUCAUCAACAAAAGUAACAAAUUUUCUAAAACCCAAAUUGAAAACCACAUGACAAGAACCCUAAAUAUCUAAAUAAACUAACAAAAAAAAAGAAGAAAAAAAGACGCGGCAAUUUAAUGACUCGAGGCAAGUAACUGGCGUGAUGUAAUUUGUUAAGUUGAUAUGGCUCACAUUCUAAACUAGAAAGAGACUGAAAACUAGAAUUUAAUUCUAAAGACUAUGCAACAAAAAAUUACCAAUACAACAAGGAUCUGAUAUAGGGAUGCAACACUAGAGCAUGUAAUGGAAGGAGCAUCUUCAAGCAGAUACAUGCCCCCUUUCUCAUGUGUGACAUCAAGAAUUUCAAAAUAAUAUUUAGGACAUAUAUAUAAGUGUUAUUUAGUUUGGAGCCAUGAAGGUAGUUAAUUUUGUGAGGUGCAAAAUGUGCGAAGGAUGAUUGUCUAUUACCAUAAUCAUCGAAAUUCAAUGAGUUAAGCUCAGUGCUAGAUAUUGACAUGUAAGUCGGUGGUAUUGAGUGAUGAUCAUUAAUUUACUGCCAUAUUAGUUGUAGUCCUCAAAUUGCAUAUUUGACAAUAUUCAAGUUUUAAAUUUACUAAAUUGAUAUUAUCCUAGCAUCCUUUGCUUUUCACCAAUGUUUUUUUGUGAGUUCAAAAUAUUUUUCAAAUUUAUCAAUGCUUGGAAGAACAUUGAUUUUCUUAUUUACAUAUUAAUUUACUAGAAUUUGAUAAUUUAACAAAAUAUCCACUUUGCAAGCCAUGCAAGCAAGCCAUUUGUCCCUCUUAGUUUAUACCACCUCUCUUCAUUUCCCACCAAUUAUUUUAUCCUACCUGCUCAUAAGUUUGAAAUAUCGAAUUGGGUAACCCAUGAUAUCAUGCAUUACAUUAUUUAUACAUUAAUGACUUGAUAACUCACCCGCUUUACUUAGCUAGGAAGAAGCCAUAUAUCUCCUUGUGGCUAAACUUAUUAGGCCACUUGUACCCUAACUACUCACUUAGGGCCACUUGAAGCAUUUCUAUUGGAACACAUACCCUUUAUUUAGACCUCAUGAUUUUAAUCCAAACUCAUUACUACCUUGAACCUUGGUUAUUUGUUCAAGCAAACUAAAUAUGGCCAUAUGUGCUCAAGGUCAUUAUUAUUUCGUUCAUUCCCCCUUGGCCUUAUCAUUGGAAGAAACCGUAUAAUAGUAUCACUAAUGGUUCCACCUAACAUUUUUUUUAAGUCAUCAUUUCUUUUAACUUGAGUUUUUUGUUUUUACUGCCCUUGGACUAUAAAUAGGUUUCCUUAUGUCUUCAAGUUUCAAAAAGAAUACUAACUUUUUCUUGCAAAAAAAGAAAUUUUCCUCUUUUAUUUUCACAUUUCAAUCUUUCGUGUGAAAGGAAAGAUUCUCUCCUUGUGUUGUUAAAGCUUCAAAAUUCCAUUUUUCAAGAGUUACAAGGUGAACUUGUAGGUUAUUCUCUUUUAUUAAACUUUUUUUAAUAAAGGGUCAAGAGAUAUUAAUCUUUGUUCUUGAUUAUAUUGCUUUCAAGGUGACUAGAGUUUUGAUUUUACUCGAGCAUUUUAUUUGAGAUAAGUGAUAACUCUAGGGGCAAAGUUGGGUUAAUUUACUUAAGAUGAAUUUGUUUCAACUUUGCAAAUGGGUUUCGGGUGUAAUGCAAAUGCUAAAAACCAAAACCUUUUGGGGAAAUGCAUAUUAUGUUUGGUAAAAACUUUUUGUAAAGGGACUUUGAGUUCAAGUAGUGUUUGGUAAAAAAAAAAAAUUGUAAUGAGCUUUGGGUGUAUUUUUUUCAUAUUCUUUUUAUUAAAAAAGGACCCAAACCCUUCGCCGGAGCCGACAAAAGGCUAUCGCCACUAAGGAGCCAAAUUUGGCACUGAUAGCUAUCGACUAAGUUCUCCCUAGCUUGGGUUGCAUAACCAUAGGCCCUUACCCGAGGUCAUGAGUGGCACUCGCCUAAGGCUGUAUGACCUUUAGCGAAGGUCACUUGUGUCACGCGACCCUCACUGGCCAAAUUUGGCCUCGCCAGCUGCCCUUGCGCUAAGAAGAUGAACAAUUAUUAGGAGGGGUAAAAUUAGACAACUAAAGAAUUAGUAAGGGUAGUUUUGGAAGAAAGAAAAAUUUUAAUCCUAAUUUCGACAUUAUGCAAAAGCUACUUUGCAAAGCCAGGUGGAGUAGUACUGAGUUUUUAGCAUUCCUAAUGUAAGCAUUUGGUCAAAAGCUAUUUCAAAUUGAUUGCCAAACACUCCAACUUUUCCCCAAGAGGCUUUGGAGCAUGAAAGUCCCUUGAGAAAGUUGAACCAAACGCACCAUUUGUACUCUUGAUUUGGUCGGUUGUUAAUUAGGUUUUGGCUUUAGUUGUCAUAUGUAGGUAAGUUUUAAUGAUGGUUUGAAAAAUCUUAUAUUCGUUUGAAUUGAAUUGUUAAGCUUGUUCCAUGCCUAGGAUGUAUUUGAUGGAUUUCCUAAGGGGUGUUUUAUUGUUUCUCUAAGACGUGAUGACAAUUUUUAGUGUGAACUUGAAGUGAUAAUUAUGUAACGUGACUAAGUUACCGAAUUAUUAGUUUAGUGUUUUCGAUUAAUCAUGUGGUCAAUUCUUUGCAUUGUCAGUGUUCACAUAAUUGAUUAUUUGAGUUGUCAAUGUUCACGAUGUUUAUUAUAUGAGUUGUCGUUGCUGCGUUAUUGGUUAUAUGAGAUAAUUUAGGGAUGCCGAAAUGAAACCCUCUCUAGUAGAUGUGUGAUUUGGAGACGAACCAAGUAGAAGCUAAUGGGCUUGUAACAACCCAAUUCGAUGAGGGUGGGGUGUGGUCGUAGAGGCUAGAGGGCUUAGACAAGGAGAGGCUCCUAGUAGGAUUCUAGGAUGGAAAAUAGGGCAAGAAUGAAUCAAAUUACACCCUAAACAAGAAGAGAGCAUGUUUGGCACGCAUUAGGAGUAUCCAUAAUGUCUCUUGAGUCGAGAUCCUAACCCGUGACAAUUACGGAUUAUUCUAUGUGUGUUGUGAGUUUCAUGACAAGUAUGAACUUGUCUAUGUAUAUUCAUAUAUAUAUAUAUAUAGUGGCGAGCUAUUAUGGGAUAUUGGUGCAUCAUGAAAAAAUAUAUCACCUACUUGCUUUUGAGUAAAUGAACUUGCAAUGUUAUUAAUGGUUUCUACUUGCAUAUCAUGAUACUAAAGAUAGAGCAUUUGCUUAUGCAUUUGUCAUACAUUAUUAUUUUUAUUUAUUGAUUUGAAUUCAUGUUGCUUGUUGGUACCGGGUUAAGUGGUAAGCUAAUCUCUUACCUUAGACUUAGAGAUUUCAUUUACUAGGUUUCGACUCACCCCUUAUUUUUCAUAUUUGUAUGAUAUUUUCUCCGGACAUGCAAUGGAGGGACGACUUGAUGUCGGAUACCAUUAAUCCUGAGUUGGAUAGUAGUUUAUUUAGUAUGGAUGUAGUGGUGUUAGGUGACAUUGACCUUUCCCAGGACUACCUAUUCUAUUAAGAUAAUAACUACCCAUUUUAGUAUAAAGUUAAGGAUGUGUACAUAAUUAGGGCGAUUUUCUUGUAAGGGAUGUUGUAGAAAUUUUAUUAUGCUUCUGCAUGCGCAAUUACAAUUAUAAGAUAUAAUUAGAAAAGAGAUGUGUCAUGCAUGAUGUUCAAUGACAUCACAUCACAUCCUUUGCCAACAAUCUUGUUCGUAGCCAGAUCUUUGAGAAUACAAAAGUCAAGGUAGAAUGACUAAACAUUGAAAGUUUUUGGUUAAUUUACUAACAUACAUGAGAUUAAAUGAAAAUUGUUGGAGAUAAAGUACUAAUGAUAAAGGCAAUGAAUGAAUUAGAUGAACUGUACCAACCCCCUUAAUCUAUGUAGAUGAAUCAUCAGCUAGGAUAACAAUGGAUGAUGAUAGAGUAAGAGAGGAAAAUAAACCUAAAUGACCUAACAUGUGAUGAGAAGCCCCGAAUCAAUGAUUCAAGGGCGAGAAGUAGUUGAAAGGCAUGUAGUAGCAUUAAUGUUUGUACUAGAAGAAGCACGUUGUAAAAUCUAAACUUGUUAAUGCUGAGCAAAUUCCUUACUAGACAUAACCAUUACCUUACCUUGAGAAGACUGGAGUAGAAGAAGGGUCAGUACUGUAUGUAGUAUUUGCAAAAUGUUGUUGUUGUCCAAGUCUCCCAUGUAACUUGUACCAAAUUUCUUAAUAUAACCAAAUUUACCAUAGUAAUGACAAGUCCAAGCGGCCCCUAAGGUAUCAGUAGACAUGUGGGACUGUCUAUAAAGAUGUUGGCCUUAGCCUCUCCUUAUUCCUGUGCCUCGACCUCCACUUCGGCCUCCAUGACCAUUAUAUCCUCCACAAUUUCCUUUAUCACUCCUAUUACCACCACUAGUUCGAGAUUGGGACACAAAAGCUUAACUUUCUACCACAUACGUGGUGCCCUGAGAAAACUCACGAGAUACUGGAAAACUCUAAGCAAAUUACCUAUGAGUGAUUUAAUAGUCUCUCUCCCCAAGAAUCUUAAAUUUAAUGGUUUCAUAGUCUGGACCGAGACUUCUUAGGAAUCCCAUUACAGCAAAUCGUUCUCUCUAAAGUUGCAUUUGUUGGACAUUGGCUGAAAUAGGGAGAACAAAGUCAACUUCUCAUAUAUCCUCUUAUAAUUAGCAAAGUACAGUAUAAUAGGACACCCCUUCCUUUCAAAUUGGUAAAACUCUGCGAUAGCUCAUAAAUCUAUGAAAAGUUAUUUUGGCCAAAAUAUAAUACAUCCAAAUAUUCCCAAGAUUAUUUGGCUAUGUCAACGUGAGUUAUUAGAUUGAUUGUAUUAGUUUCCAUAGAAUUCAGCAUCUGACUAAAAACACGUGCAUCAACAACGUCCCAAGUUGGAUCAUAUGUGGGUUUAGGCUCAGUCGAGUGUAUAUGCUGAUGUCUACUUGUUAAAGUUAGUUUCACAAUUUUCUUCCAUUGAUGAAAGUUAGCACUACCCUCAAACUUCUUAUCAAAUAAUUCAACCAGAAGAAGAGGAAAUCACCUCAGUCAUCACCGUAUUAUUCUUCUUAGGAUCACCCACAGUUUCACUUCUCUCAAGAUCACCCAUUCUCCAAUAAUAAGAAACCAUCGCAAUAUUUUUCUUUAAGCAACUCAACUUCAAUAGUUCAAUAAUCUAGCACAAUUGAAAAAUAAAUCACCACAUAAAAGAUUCUCCAUGACCCACAAACGCUACCAAUUGAGAGACCAUAACUACAUUAUUCAAACACCCACAAGUUAAAUGCCGAAAAAUAAGAAACCCUAAGUAGUCCUGCUAAAAGAUAACAGACUUGGCCAACGGAUUAGAUAAAUUCAUAAGGGCAUGGGGAUAGCCAAUCUAGCAACUAAGGAGUCCAACAACUAACAUAUCAUUGAUCUACGGGAAUUGGUCAUUGUCGAUGAUGGAGGGGAAGCGUGCAAGGCAACGUGCGAGGACAGUGCAAGGAAGUCGCGUUGGAGAAAGCAUGCAAGGGAGACGCACUAGCAAAGAGGAAACACUCAAGGGUAGCGCAAGGAAGACACAUUGGAGAAAGUGCGCAAGGGAGACACACUAGUGGAGAGGGCUCACCGUUUCGGCAAUUAGUCAACGGCGAUGAGCGGUUGCUGUGUCGACUAGGGUUAAGGACCCUUCUCGGAUGACAUGUGAAAGGAAAAUUGUUGAUCAUAUUAUUCACUAAAUAUCACUAUAUUUGUAUUAGUAAUCAGCAACAAAAUAGGCCUUAAGGGUCCUAAAGACCGUUUUACCAUUUAUACUUCCAACAAUCAUGUCUCUUGAUUGGUAAUUUUGUUGAUAUCUAUUAAUCUAAUGAUUAUAAACAUGUGGAAGGAACAAUUGCUUAUGCACAUGCUAUGUUUGGCGAGCUUGGAGUGGGGGACUAUGUAGCACUGACACGGACACGCGACACACGACGCGAUACAACGCGACACGACACGACACGACACACUGACACGUCAUUUCUAUAAAUAAAUAAAAAUAUAGAAUCCGACAUGUUUCGACACGUUAUAUAUUAAAUAUAUAUUUGUAUAUAUAAAUGCAAAAUUAAAUAAAUAAUAAUAACAAAAAGAAUAUAGAACUAAAUAUUAAUCCAAUAUUUAUUAAUAUCAUUCAUUGUUUUAAUUUGACAAAAAUUGAACAAGAAAUUCAAAAAUUGCAAACACAAAAGAGUAAACUUAAAGGAAUAUCUCAUGUUUUCUUACACUUGUCGGAGAUUAGUGAGAUUUCUUAUAGUCAUAGACAGAGUUCGGAGUUCUUGAUAUAGACUGGAGCUCCUUUGUAAAAUAAGGUUCCAGAAAAAUGAAAAUCCAAGACAAUGACUCUCGAAGUAUGACCAAAAGAAAAGGAAAUCACUAAAUUUGUCAUGGAAAAUGUGAGAGAUAACUCACAAGCUAAUAACAUAGACCAAAAGAGAUAACUCGCAUGCGACUGCCUGCGCAAGGCGGAAAGAAGCCAAAAAAAAAAAAAAAAUCACAACUUUAAGUCUAUGGGAGCGGCGAAGCGAUACCGGCGAGAAGAGCGACAUUCCAUCGUCACUCACGAGAAGGUCAAAACUCAGAAGUAAGAAACUUGAGAGUGAGAAUUUUCUUCUUUUCCCUUUAUUUUUGUUAUUUUCAUUAUUUUUUCAUAUAUUUAUAUUUUGACCCCUCAAGUAUUAAUUUUUUUUAAAAUUGACCCGUGUGUGUGGGAAUUACGUGUCAGAAUUUCAAACUCACGUGUCGGAGCAUGUAAAAAAAAAUUGAACAUGUGUUGGAUAUUUCAACACUUGUUGAUCGCGUGUUGAAGCGUGUUGGAAUGUCGGACACGACAUUAAGGCUCCUAGAGAGUAUCGGUACUUAUUAGGUGGGGGAGCUCCAUGAAUACAUGCAUUGCCUCCAAUCUAUCUUCGAUUAGUAUGGGACCCUCCAAGUUCUCUGCUUUUUUUCGACCCCAAAAAAAAAAUUCUUUGCUUUUGGAACAUGUGAAAUGAUAUAGAAGUGUAAUUCCCGUAAUCUCCGGAAUCAAGUCACGGCGUGAUCCACCGUCUUCUAACUUAUGUUCAAAGUUAAGCCCUUCUUCCUACAAAUAAUUGCUUAUAAAAAAUAAAAUAAAAAUCCACUUUCGAGCUUGGAGACAGGACUUUUAGCUUAUAGCAUGGGCACUUUACUCCAAGAUGCGAUUUUAUCUUUCGGAGGUUGAGAGGAAAAACGCAGUUCAAAUUAGGUGGCUCCAUAUGAAAUUCAAUAGCAAUACAGUAAUUACUAUAAUUCUCUGCCCAGUCGCCAGGAACCUGGUGGAAAGCAAAAGAAAAAGAAAGAAACAUCGCGUAGAAUGUAGGAAAAAAGUUUUGUGGUUUGGCCCCCAAUCUAAGGAAUAAGUUUCAAUUUUCAGCCCAAAACGCAGAAAAGCUCGAAGUUUCAAACAUAGGACGACAAUGACCCGAGGUUGGUCAGGUUCAUUUACCUCACUGUAGAGGGGCAUAUAAAAAGGGCUUCCACCCGUCAUUUUCCAUUGCAAAAGCCAAGCAAACCAGGGGUCGAAUCCAACUCGACGUCGCGGUCUUCCGAAACCAGCCGAUGUAUCGUUUCCAAGGACCGCUCGCUGGAUUUUUGACCCCCCAAACACAGCGUCCAUGACCAAAAAAAACAAAAAAACAAAAAAUACUGUCCACCAAUAGAUCUCACCCAGCUAUCGGGCAGUGUUUCAUGUGAUUGGAGUCACGUGAGCAAAAGUACCUUUUCCUUUUGACACGUUAAGUCGCAUGUCACUGCUGUCGGCCGAUGCAUUUAAAACUACAAGUAUAUCUUUCUUUUCGGAAAUCAACCUUUAAUUUCGCUAGACUGGUUCAUAUGUUGAAUAAUUUUCAAUUUUUUAAUUAAAUAUCAAAUACCUUUUUUAAGUAUUACUUAACAUGGAUAUUUUACGGAUUGAUUUCAAUAUGGUUACAGCUAAAUCAUGGUGAGGGUGAAAGAAUAUGAUGCUAAGAGAAAAAGAUAAAUCCAGACACUUCUAAACAAUCGUUGAUAAGAAUCUAUGUUGACUUUUCAUGUGGGAUGAAUUUUGAUCACGAAAUCAAUGUGAGAAAAAAGAUGCUUUGAAUAUAAGUAGGGUAGGGUUUUUCUCGAUGAGAAUAUAUUUUCUCACUUUGAAAAACUUUAUCGUUAAAAUUGAAAGUAUAUUAAUAAGUGCUCUACAAACAUUCGUUAAUAAAAUCCAUAUGAACACUAGGAAUAUGCACAUUCUGAAAUAAAUAAGUUACUCUAUCUUGAAAUCUACUCUCCAAGGACAUGAAAAUCUACCCUGCAAGAGUUUUAGAAUGGCUUGAAACUAUAACAUGCCGGUUUCAUAGCUUUUAAAGUACUUCAAACCAUUUACGCCUUCUCCUUAUAUGCCCUAAAGAGAAACACAUUCAAGAAAAAUGUUACAUUCCCAAUUAUCAACACAUUCAUAGUCGCACGCGGGUUUUCAAAUCUCGAAGCCUCGGAAACCAUCAGGCGACCUCUGGUACCCCGCGGUGCGACUCUCUUUUUUGGGGUUACGCCCACAAUUUCUAAACGGGUUCCACGGUCCCAAAUGGUGUGGAACCUAAGCAUGUGGCAGGGGCGGUCGAUGUGACACUUCCAGCACCCAAGAAAUUCCACCAUAAAACCAUCCGCCCAGCUCACCUUUAAAAAAUUCAAUCCUCCAAAAAGACCAACAAAAUUCAAUCAUGAUUACUCUUCCGCCUUAUUCACCGGUAAUUGCCAACACCUUUUCUCUCUCUCUCUCUCUCUCCACAGCUAGGCCGCCCAUUGUAUUUUCUCCCUCUCUCUCUCUCUCUCUCUCUCUCUCUCUCUCUCGUUGGCAUAUAUAAAGACUGCAUUUUUUUAACCAUUCUUCCACGCACAAACCCACAAAAAACUCCAGAAGCACCCCGCCAGCCUCCAUUGCCACUCCUCGCUUCACCUUCUCCUUCUCCUUCUCCCUCCAUCUCCCCCUCCUCCUCCUCCUCCCCCUCCGCCACCUCCGCCGCCGCUCCUCCGCCGCCGCCAUGGACACCGGCAUCGGAUCGCUCAGCUCAUGCAAGCCCCCCUGCAACGACGUCGGGUCCCCCCCCAACGGCGCCGCCGCGGCCAUCCAGGGCUCGGGCCCCGCGCCCGCGGUGGUCGCCUCCCCCGACUCCACCAUGGGCCGCCACAUCGCCCACCGGCUCGUCCAGAUCGGCGUCACCGACGUCUUCGCCGUCCCCGGCGACUUCAACCUCACGCUCCUCGACCACCUCAUCGCCGAGCCGGGGCUCAACCUCGUCGGCUGCUGCAACGAGCUCAACGCCGGGUACGCCGCCGACGGCUACGCCCGCGCCCGCGGCGUCGGGGCCUGCGUCGUGACGUUCACCGUCGGCGGGCUCAGCGUGCUCAACGCCAUCGCCGGGGCCUACAGCGAGAACCUGCCGGUGGUCUGCAUCGUCGGCGGGCCCAACUCCAACGACUACGGGACGAACAGGGUACUUCACCAUACCAUCGGGUUGCCUGAUUUCAGCCAAGAGCUUCGGUGUUUUCAGACUGUUACUUGCUUCCAGGUCUCUCUUCGGUCCCCUCUCUUUGAUCUUUUUUGCUGAAACUAAUUUUUUAUUCGGAUCGAUCUUUGUCUGAAGUGUGCCUCUCUAUGAUUCUUUUUGCGGAAACUAAUUUUUUAUUCGGAUCGAUCUUUGUCUGAAGUGGGUAUAUUGACUAGAAACAUCGCUUCGAGGACUUUCAAGAAUUAGUCAUAUUAUAAUGCUUGUCGCUUUUUGGAUCUUGUUGUUUGUGGUGGGUCUGUCCUGUGAGAUGAUAAUAAUAUACUAAUGGUUGCUUAGUAUUUUGGGAUGGGAGUCCGAGCUGGGGCUUUUGCAUAGAUUGUUGUGAGAGGGGUAUGUAUGUUAAGUGCAGAUCGAAUGAACUUGAUUUGUUGAUUGUCUCCGUUUCGCCUUUUUCUAGGCUGUGGUGAAUAAUUUGGAAGAUGCACAUGAACUGAUCGAUACCGCGAUCUCGACUGCCCUUAAAGAAAGCAAGCCCGUUUACAUAAGCAUAAGCUGCAACUUGCCUGCCAUACCUCACCCCACUUUCAGUCGUGAGCCGGUUCCAUUUGCACUCUCUCCCAAGUAAUUUUCCAUCUGUUCAGUCGAUCAAGUCUAUUUGCUGCAUUAGAUUAUGACUAGAGU